rnacentral:lncRNA from 1 species
CAUUUGGCCAUCCAUUAUUGAUAGUACCUUUGUUUUUUCUCACUGAUCUUCAAUGUAGCAGAUUCAUCAAUAUAAAAGAGCUGAAAAAGGCCAGGCAUGGUGGCUCAUGCUUGUAAUCCCAGUGCUUUGGAAGUCAAGGUGGGAAGAUUGACAGAGCAGGAUUAUUGCCAUCUUGGACAAGUAUUAUUUUAAAAUUCACCUUAAUCAAAAACCACCUAAAUCCAAAGGGCAUCAGCCUAAUGGCUAAGGUCAGCAUGACCAUAAACCACAAAUAACAUCUCCAACCAGAAACAUUCCAAAUUCCUCCCCAAGCAGAGACAUGCUUCCCCCAAGAUAACCCCCCUUCAGCCGGGAAGAUGCCAGCCCCGAGACAACCCACCUCCUGCCAGAAAGAUAUCAGCCCCAAGAUAACCUCCCCUCCAUCCAG